CCUACGGGAGGCUGCAGUGAGGAAUAUUGGUCAAUGGGCGCGAGCCUGAACCAGCCAAGUAGCGUGAAGGAUGACUGCCCUACGGGUUGUAAACUUCUUUUAUAAAGGAAUAAAGUGAGGCACGUGUGCCUUUUUGUAUGUACUUUAUGAAUAAGGAUCGGCUAACUCCGUGCCAGCAGCCGAGGUAAUACGGAGGAUCCGAGCGUUAUCCGGAUAUAUUGGGUUUAAAGGGAGCGUAGAUGGGUUGUUAAGUCAGUUGGGAAAGUGUGCGGCUCAAACGUAAAAUUGCAAUUGAUACUGGCAGACUUGAGUGCAGUAGAGGUGGGUGGAAUUCGUGGUGUAGCGGUGAAAUGCUUAGAUAUCACGAAGAACACCGGUUGCGAAGGCAGCUUACUAAACUGCCACUGACAUUGAUGCACGAAAGUGUGGGUAUCAAACAGGAUUAGAUACCCGGGUAGUC
rnacentral:rRNA from 1 species